GGGCUCGCGGAGGACGGCCUGGGGGGUGUCACGCCGGGCGAAAACCGCUCCCCGGGCAUCGCAACCCGUGUUUAACUGCAGGGUCCGGCAUGAAGCGGACACAGAAGCAGAUGAGGACCGAAGUGGAGGACAGCCGGAGGACGGCCGGUCCUCCUUCCUGCGCCCAGAACCAUCGAGCGAGCUCCUCCGAGGUGUAGUUAGCUCAUCCAGCCGUGUGCAUGAUGGAUGAUCCCAGGGACGCGCCGGUUCUGACCCAGCUUGGAAUCAGCAGCAGUGUCUCCCCCGCGUUCAAAUCAGAUCUUUAAAUAAACCACAGCCACGUAAACGCAGCGAGCGUCAUUCACAUAAAAAAACAGUCGUCCUUUGCUAAAAAGACAAGCGGCUUCAGACCGUUUUCACUCCUUCUGAACACAGAGACGUUGGACAAUUCUUAUACUAAGACUACGACGAUAACGCCUCGAGGGAGGACGUCAGGUUGCGUGCUGUAAAGACAUUUGGGUCAAACAAGGACACGCGUGUUUGUGGCGUGUGGAAGCUUCAUCUCGCCACCUUGAAGGUGUUUGAUGCAGGAACCCUGGGGAGUUAGAAGGUACGAGCGCAGCACAGUGUUUGGUGAUGUCGUUGCGGCGCAUCCCGCAAAACCCGCGGCAUUGUUGUUGACAGUCGGCGACGAGGAAGUCCGGGGCACUGAGGCUCUGCUGCAGCUCCUCGCUCGCACUCGGUCCGUUGUUCUUCCUCUAAGUGAAUUAAAGCACGAUAUCCACCGCAUUCAGGGCGCCGCCGCUGCUGUUUCCAAGAUGCGUUCUUUUAUCUGUGGACCGAUCACGCGCCGGAGGAGCGUCCCUCCCCCCGAAGGCAGGAACACAAAGCGCACAAGAAUCUGAAGGUCUGAGCGCUGAGCUGCUACCCGACGCCACGUAGCGCUGCACAUCUCGCUCCUUCGCCCCUUCACUGUCUCACUCUUUACCCGGCGUCGCUCGGCGUGGCCGCGCUGACGCAGACGGAUUUGCGUGGCAGACAGUUGGAGGCCCGAGGACGGGAGGAGAUUGCUUCACGAGGCGUCCGGGCCGCGCUGGAUGUCUGGAGGGUGAUUUGCCAAAAAUCUGUCAAAGAAAAAGUUCUGCAGUGGUGAUUGAGCAAGUCUCGCCGUGAGCGUUGGCGUAAUUUACUGAGAAGACUAUUAUUUCAGUUCUAUGUACCUUUGCCUCAAAUAGCAAUGUUUUUUUCUGGAAAUGUCAUUCAGGAUUAAUUGGCGUUAAUGGAUUAAUAUUUGAUUUAAAAGUAGUAACCAUGCAAACAGUAUCGACAAAUAAGCUUCUUUCUGCAGCUUUAUUCCCUUUACACAGUAGCAGCUAAAACAUUUAUUCUGAACCUCAACUUAAAGAAAUCUUCUUUAAUCUAAACUACAUAACAUGUUUUAAUAUAAAACUAAAGCCAUUUGCAACUGCCAGAGGCUUAAUGUUGAAUCCGG
ensembl:lncRNA